UGAGUGGUGUUCCUCAAGGAGCCUGG
rnacentral:piRNA from 1 species